UGCUUCUCUUGAGAGCGGCGGACGGGUGAGUAAUGCCUAGGAAUCUGCCUGGUAGUGGGGGAUAACGUUCGGAAACGGACGCUAAUACCGCAUACGUCCUACGGGAGAAAGCAGGGGACCUUCGGGCCUUGCGCUAUCAGAUGAGCCUAGGUCGGAUUAGCUAGUUGGUGGGGUAAUGGCUCACCAAGGCUACGAUCCGUAACUGGUCUGAGAGGAUGAUCAGUCACACUGGAACUGAGACACGGUCCAGACUCCUACGGGAGGCAGCAGUGGGGAAUAUUGGACAAUGGGCGAAAGCCUGAUCCAGCCAUGCCGCGUGUGUGAAGAAGGUCUUCGGAUUGUAAAGCACUUUAAGUUGGGAGGAAGGGUUGUAGAUUAAUACUCUGCAAUUUUGACGUUACCGACAGAAUAAGCACCGGCUAACUCUGUGCCAGCAGCCGCGGUAAUACAGAGGGUGCAAGCGUUAAUCGGAAUUACUGGGCGUAAAGCGCGCGUAGGUGGUUUGUUAAGUUGGAUGUGAAAUCCCCGGGCUCAACCUGGGAACUGCAUUCAAAACUGACUGACUAGAGUAUGGUAGAGGGUGGUGGAAUUUCCUGUGUAGCGGUGAAAUGCGUAGAUAUAGGAAGGAACACCAGUGGCGAAAGCGACCACCUGGACUAAUACUGACACUGAGGUGCGAAAGCGUGGGGAGCAAACAGGAUUAGAUACCCUGGUAGUCCACGCCGUAACGAUGUCAACUAGCCGUUGGGAAGCCUUGAGCUUUU
rnacentral:rRNA from 1 species